UGGGGAAUUUUGGACAAUGGGCGCAAGCCUGAUCCAGCCAUGCCGCGUGAGUGAAGAAGGCCUUCGGGUUGUAAAGCUCUUUCGGUGGGGAAGAAAUUGCACUUGUUAAUACCGAGUGUAGAUGACGGUACCCGCAUAAGAAGCACCGGCUAACUACGUGCCAGCAGCCGCGGUAAUACGUAGGGUGCGAGCGUUAAUCGGAAUUACUGGGCGUAAAGCGUGCGCAGGUGGUUGUGUAAGUCAGAUGUGAAAUCCCCGGGCUCAACCUGGGAACUGCAUUUGAGACUGCACGGCUAGAGGAUGGCAGAGGGGGGUAGAAUUCCACGUGUAGCAGUGAAAUGCGUAGAGAUGUGGAGGAAUACCGAUGGCGAAGGCAGCCCCCUGGGCUAUUACUGACACU
rnacentral:rRNA from 1 species